CCCGGAUUCUCUCCAGUGAAGCGUAUAUUAAAGUUGCUGCAGUUAAAAAGCUCGUAGUUGAAAUUCUGUCCGGUUGAGCGAUUUCCAAAUGGUCUUCGCCUCACCGGGCAUCAGUCUGCGAAUCAUUUUCACGACAUUCACUUGUCGGGGAUUGGGAGCAGGCGUUUUACCUUGAGAAAAUUAGAGUGUUCCAGGCAGGCUUCAGCCCGAAUACAUUAGCAUGGAAUAAUAGAAUAGGACUAGAGACUAUUUAUUGGUUUAAGGCUUUAGUAAUGAUUAAUAGGAACAGUCGGGGGCAUUAGUACUUGACAGUCAGAAGGUGAAAUUCUAGGAUUUGUCAAAGACUAACUAAUGCGAAAGCAUUUGCCAAGCAUGUUUUCAUUAAUCAAGAACGAAAGUUAAGGGAUCAAAGACGAUUAGAUACCGUCGUAGUCUUAACUAUAAACUAUACCGACUCGGAAUUGGACAAUUUUAAUUUAGAUUGRUCAGCGCCGUAAGAGAAAUCAAAGUCUUUGGGUUCUUGGUGGAGUACGAUCGCAAGAUU
rnacentral:rRNA from 1 species